rnacentral:rRNA from 1 species
UACGGAAGGCAGCAGUGGGGAAUAUUGGACAAUGGGCGCAAGCCUGAUCCAGCCAUGCCGCGUGUGUGAAGAAGGCCUUCGGGUUGUAAAGCACUUUUGUCCGGAAAGAAAGCUUAGGGUUAAUAACCUUGAGUCAUGACGGUACCGGAAGAAUAAGCACCGGCUAACUUCGUGCCAGCAGCCGCGGUAAUACGAAGGGUGCAAGCGUUACUCGGAAUUACUGGGCGUAAAGGGCACGCAGGCGGUUAAUUAAGUUGGAUGUGAAAUCCCCGGGCUUAACCUGGGAAUGGCAUUCAAGACUGGUUAGCUAGAGUCUUGUAGAGGGGGUAGAAUUCCAUGUGUAGCGGUGAAAUGCGUAGAGAUGUGGAGGAAUACCGGUGGCGAAGGCGGCCCCUGGACAAAGACUGACGCUCAUGUGCGAAAGCGUGGGGAGCAAACAGGGAUUAGAUACC